rnacentral:rRNA from 1 species
AAAUGCUGGGGCAAGCGUGUAGGGCGAUGUGUAGGCAAAUCCGCACAUCAUAGGCCUGAGACGUUAAGCGGAGCCGUAUUAGGUGAAGUCAAUGAUCCCAUGCUGCCAAGAAAAGCCUCUAGCGAGCUUCGAGCGGCCCGUACCCCAAACCGACACAGGUGGUCAGGUAGAGAAUACCGAGGCGAUCGGGCGAACUGUGGUUAAGGAACUCGGCAAAUUACCCCCGUAACUUCGGGAGAAGGGGGGCCACAGACUGUCAUACCCCACGCGGGUGGCAGCAGUAGGUGGCCGCAGAGACCAGGGGGAAGCGACUGUUUACUAAAAACACAGGUCCGUGCGAAGUCGUAAGACGAUGUAUACGGACUGACGCCUGCCCGGUGCUGGAACGUUAAGGGGACCGGUUAGUCCGCAAGGGCGAAGCUGAGAACUUAAGCGCCAGUAAACGGCGGUGGUAACUAUAACCAUCCUAAGGUAGCGAAAUUCCUUGUCGGGUAAGUUCCGACCUGCACGAAUGGCGUAACGACUUCCCUACUGUCUCAACCACAGGCCCGGCGAAAUUGCACUACGAGUAAAGAUGCUCGUUACGCGCGGAAGGACGGAAAGACCCCGGGACCUUCACUAUAGCUUGACAUUGGUAUCCGAAUUUAAUUGUGUAGGAUAGGUGGGAGGCUUUGAUCCGCGGACGCCAGUCCGUCGGGGAGCCAACGUUGAAAUACCACUCUGUUGACUUUGGGUAUCUAACUUCGGACCGUGAUCCGGUUCAGGGACAGUGUCUGGUGGGUAGUUUAACUGGGGCGGUUGCCUCCUAAAAUGUAACGGAGGCGCCCAAAGGUUCCCUCAGCCUGGUUGGCAAUCAGGUGUUGAGUGCAAGUGCACAAGGGAGCUUGACUGUGAGACUGACAGGUCGAGCAGGGACGAAAGUCGGGACUAGUGAUCCGGCACCUGCGAGUGGAAGCGGUGUCGCUCAACGGAUAAAAGGUACCCCGGGGAUAACAGGCUGAUCUUCCCCAAGAGUCCAUAUCGACGGGAUGGUUUGGCACCUCGAUGUCGGCUCGUCGCAUCCUGGGGCUGGAGUAGGUCCCAAGGGUUGGGCUGUUCGCCCAUUAAAGCGGCACGCGAGCUGGGUUUAGAACGUCGUGAGACAGUUCGGUCCCUAUCCUCCGCGCGCGUAGGAGACUUGAGAAGAGCUGUCCCUAGUACGAGAGGACCGGGACGGACGAACCUCUGGUGUGCCAGUUGUCAUGCCAAUGGCACGGCUG